GGGGGGCGCCCUGCCUCUGGCCCCGUUUCGCCUCCGCUUCGGUCUCGUGGCUUCUGAAGUCUUCUAGAUGUAAGAUAAUUGCGCGCCACGUUAAUAUCUCUAUGUAAUCCCGACGUGUGGGCCUUUCUUCCAUAUUUCCUGAUAACCCCAUGCAGAAAUAGACAAACACCAAAACUCGUGGAAUUCUGUCAAAUAAAACCCUAAGUCUGGAUCUUGAUUUCAUUUGGAUCCUUUUCUUUAUUUAUUUUAUAAUUAAAUUUGAUACUUAAGGACCGUCAACAAACUCCCCCAAGCUUACCUCUUCCUCGUCCCUGAGCAAGGAUAGACUCAGCUAUGGAUCAUAAGUUGUUGCAAUAUCUUUAAAAAUUUGACGGUACACAUGCUUUUAAAUAAGAUCUCAUCUCUGAGUUAGAGUAAACUGUCAAGACUUAAAACUUACUUAUUUUACCUUCACCAUGAGACUUGUAACUGUCACUUCUGUCUUGAGUGGUUAAAAGAUAGAACAGUCUAGCCAAGUGCCAUGUCUCUUAUUCUUGAUCAGCUAUAGCUCUGGGGUUUUCGCAGAUUUUCAAAUAAAACUCAGAGAUUCCUUGUAUGACUCUCUCAAAUCUCUCUUUUGUGGUAUUUCUGGAUCCUUACCAAGGCAGUGAUGGUAUAUGCCUUCUCUCAAGAUAUGUAGUAUUUGUGGUAUGAGGCAUAGUGACAUUGCCCUCUCUCUCACCCUACUCUAAUAAGGCUUUAAUAUCUGGAGCUCAUAGGUGGGAGAUAAAAUAUACAUACUUACAAGACAUUUAUUGCAUAGUCAAACCAUGGAUCCAAAGAAACAAAUCAAUAAGUUUAAUCAAAAUGUGCAUGUGUGGCGAAUGAAUGGUGUAUGGUGAUGAUGGUGAUAACAAUGGUGAAAACAAUGGUGGUGGAAGUCUAAUUCUACUUUGCUCUUUAGAGGGGAUACAUACCUUCCUUGCUUUUUGAAACUUUAUGAGGAGAAUGAGAUGCUCUAUCUUUUUCUUGUCUCUCAGGUGGGUAUCUUGUACCCCUAAUUCUACAGUCGGACACUUGUCCAUUUUUACCUCUCGUCUCACUUUUUCUUUUCUUUCGAGGUUCCGAGCACUUGCUCCUUUUUAUUUCCUCGUCUCUCUUUUUUUUUUCUUUUCAGAGCAUUCAUCUCUUGAGAUAAUAUAGCAAGUGGUAGUAACAAGAUAACUUGAGCAUUUAUUUCACAAGGGAAAGACAGAAAUAUUUUUGGUUAUUCUCUCCCGGAUUAGGAGUAGAAUAUUUUUGGGUAAUUCUGGAGAUGGAAUGGGUGGAUAUAUGUGGAUGGUACUUCCGGAGUAGAAGUAGCAUAUAUGAGUGAACGUGCAAGUGAAAUCUUGAUUUAACCACAUGACAAGCUCCUAAGGGUCAACACAGCUUGACCACACUCAAUGCUCAUAAGCAGUAAAUAAUAAAUGUGUGGCUCAAAGUCUAACAAGCAUGUAUAUAUGGCUGUGGUAGGAAUUUAAGCUCUCAUCAUAAAGGAACUCAUCAUGCAAUAUUUUAAAGAUUUUCAAAGAUAAAAUUCUCCAGAAUUCUAGCAUCUCUAGGAACAGAUAAACAGCAGCUCAACCUUCCCAUAUCGUAUCCGUUAACAACUUAGACUUUAGAUCAAGUUUUCAUCCCACAAGUUUAGGUCUAGAGCAAGCUUUAAAUUAUAACAGUUAUAUCUAAACUUGAGAGAGAACUUAAAAUUUGCAAAUUAGGUAGAGCAACUAUUUAUCUUAUCCAUGCUUAAGUUUUAUUUAGAUACAGAUUAGCAUAGCCACUUUAUUUAUUUAUUAAACACACUAAGCAAAAGAUAUAUAUAUAUAAGCAUAAAAUCUUUAUUUGGUUUUCC
rnacentral:lncRNA from 1 species